AUUGAACGCUGGCGGCAUGCCUUACACAUGCAAGUCGAACGGCAGCACGGGGGCAACCCUGGUGGCGAGUGGCGAACGGGUGAGUAACGCAUCGGAACGUGCCCAGUAGUGGGGGAUAACCAGUCGAAAGACUGGCUAAUACCGCAUACGACCUAAGGGUGAAAGCGGGGGACCGCAAGGCCUCGCGCUAUUGGAGCGGCCGAUGUCUGAUUAGCUAGUUGGUGAGGUAAAGGCUCACCAAGGCGACGAUCAGUAGCUGGUCUGAGAGGAUGACCAGGCUCACUGGGACUGAGACACGGCCCAGACUCCUACGGGAGGCAGCAGUGGGGAAUUUUGGACAAUGGGCGCAAGCCUGAUCCAGCCAUGCCGCGUGCGGGAAGAAGGCCUUCGGGUUGUAAACCGCUUUUGGCAGGAACGAAACGGCAUCCCCUAAUACGGGGUGUUAAUGACGGUACCUGCAGAAUAAGCACCGGCUAACUACGUGCCAGCCGCCGCGGUAA
rnacentral:rRNA from 1 species